GUGGCCAUGCCGCCUCUGAGAUAGAGAUAGAGAGAGACAGGGAGAGAGACGGAGACAGAGCUAGAGAGGGAGGGAUUUUAGGGAUUUGCAAACUCUUCCCCUUGCUGCCUGUUCGGUUCUGAUUUGAAGAUUUCUCAAGCGGCUAUAAUUUCAUGGUCUAUGGGUGCAGCAAGCAAAAUCCCUUCAUUCAUAUGAGCUUCUUGGGCCUCUUUCUGAAAAGUUAGGUAUUUCUGAAAAGAAUAACAAUUCAUUUCAGUUUAAAUAUUUCUGAAAAGUUAGAGAUGGUUUUAUUAGUUUCAAAUUAUAUACUGCUGAAAAGUUUAACAUCUGCUGAGCACGUUGAGCGUUUGUAAAUUAGCCAAAUUAUAGGGUCAUGUGCAGGUGUUGUGUUUAAAACUUCGUUUUUUCAUGAGUUUUUAUUAAGCUUUGUGACUUUUCUUUUUUCUUUUUUUUUUUUUUUUUUUUUUGUAUCGGUUGAUUUCUAAAUUACUAUAAUUAAGAACAAGAUUAGUGAGUUUUUAAUUUGCUGCUUAGCUUAACACGAUCCUUGAAUAAAAUUUGGGUCUUAGUUGAAGUUAGGUCAUAUUUUUAAGAAUGGUAAGAACUAAGGAAAUUUUUUCUGGGUAUGUCCUGUUCAACUUUUGUUGGCAAAUUGGUCUUUGCCAAUCAAUGUUAUUUUUGGGUGCUAACUGUUUUGGUCUUUAUAAAUUUUGGUAGCGGUGAUUUCUUCUGCACUUAUGAUGUGACAACGUUGUGUAAUGAUUGUAGGUUUUUGAAAAUUUUGAGCUUCACAAACCGUGGAAAAAGAAACAAGUUUUGCUGAAAUCAAUUUAAAGGCACAAUAACAAAGGUAU